UGAACGCUGGCGGCGUGCCUAACACAUGCAAGUCGAGCGGAGAUAUUCGCCGAGGAGGACUUCGGUCAAAUCAUGGAUAUCUUAGCGGCGGAUGGGUGAGGAACGCGUGGGCAACCUGCCCUUCACAGGGGGAUAACAGUUGGAAACGACUGUUAAUACCGCAUAUGCUCACAGCACCGCAUGGUGCAGGGAGGAAAGCCGAGACGGUGAAGGAUGGACCCGCGUCGGAUUAGCCAGUUGGUGAGGUAACGGCCCACCAAAGCGAUGAUCCGUAGCCGGCCUGAGAGGGCGACCGGCCACAUUGGGACUGAGACACGGCCCAAACUCCUACGGGAGGCAGCAGUGGGGAUAUUGCACAAUGGGGGAAACCCUGAUGCAGCGACGCCGCGUGAAGGAAGAAGUGCUUCGGCAUGUAAACUUCUAUCAGCAGGGAAGAAGAUGACGGUACCUGCACAAGAAGCCCCGGCUAACUACGUGCC
rnacentral:rRNA from 1 species